rnacentral:rRNA from 1 species
UACGGGGGGGGCAAGCGUUGUUCGGAAUUACUGGGCGUAAAGGGCUCGUAGGCGGCCAACUAAGUCGGACGUGAAAUCCCUCGGCUCAACUGGGGAACUGCGUCCGAUACUGGAUGGCUUGGAUUUGGGAGAGGGAUGCGGAAUUCCAGGUGUAGCGGUGAAAUGCGUAGAUAUCUGGAGGAACACCGGUGGCGAAGGCGGCAUCCUGGACCAAUAUUGACGCUGAGGAGCGAAAGCCAGGGGAGCAAACGGG